ensembl:lncRNA
AUGGCGAGGAGGAAGUGCGGGGUGGAAAACGGCAGCUCCUCUGCUGCUGUGCCGGGGGCUGCGCGGGCGCCGCCUGCCCCAUGGCUCCAGCCGCUCUGGCUGCCCGUGUCCGCAGGCGCCUCUGCACCCACAGUCGGGACCGCGCACCCUGUGCCCAGCGAGCGCCCGGGUUGCAGGCAGGAGCCGGGGCGAGGGCCGUGGGGUGCGACCCCGCAGGACAGGGCCGAACCCAGAUGGGUCGCGGCACCGGGAUGCCGGCGGGCGCGGGGAGCCCAUCCCGGCCCGGCCGCGGCCCCGAGCCGUGCUGAGGGCCAGGCAGGUGCCGGGCGCAUCCCCGCUGUGGUGCCCCCCCACCCUGCCAGUGCCCCCUGCCCCACCGGCACCCCCUGCCCCGCCAGAUCGGCCCCCAACCUGUGUGUGCGCGAGGUCCCGCGCAGGGCUGCGCUGCGCCGGCGUGCUGCGGGGCCCAGCUGGUGCGUGCCUGGACCCUGGCGCAGCUCUGGCUCCGAGAGAGGAACAGGAAACCCUGCGCUGACCAUAGAGCCAUUGCGAGAUUUCCUGCGUUUCCUCCCCUCCCUGCCGGCUCCCUGCACGGGGCCGGCUCCCACUGUGGCCGUCCGCCGCAGCCCCCACGGCUGCCCAGCCCCGGCCCUGCAGCCAGCCCACUCCGCUGCCCCCAUCCUGGGAUCCCUGCAUCCCAAGGAGGCUCCCGCGCCCUCCGAAGGGGCCAUCCCGCCGGCACGGCCUCGGCGCAGCCCUCGUGCCCGCCAGCGGCCACGUGGCAACAGGGUGCUGCAUGGCGGGAGCUCGCGCCGCCCAGAGCCUGCUCCACUCCCGCUGGCAGGGCAGCCCUGGGCUCCGCACUCCCGCCUCCCCACAAGGCUGCUCCCAGCAUCCAUCUCCCCACGCGCUGCUCUGCUCCCUUCGCGGGAUAAUGCAUCCGCCGCAGCUGCACAGCGAGGGGAACCGCCACUGCCGCAGCCCAGUGCCCCGGCUCGCCGUCUGCUGCUGGCUCCCUCCAGCCCUGCCACCUCCGGGGAGGUUUGUCCCACUGCUCAUCCAGGAGAUCCCCGCUCCCACAGGACAGAGGCAGGUCCUGGCCCCGGGGGGAGCUUCCCUGAGGAGGGAUUGCCAGCACAGUGUGCACAUGGGGGGACAUGCACGUGGGGGAGCAUGCGCAGGUCAGUGUGCACGGAUGAGUGCACAUGGGUGAAUGUGCACACAGGAGAGCGUGCACAUGGAGGGGAGCGUGCACAGGGGGGCAUGCGCUCAGGACGGUGUGCAUGGGGGAGUGCACACACGGGGGAGCGCGCAGCCUCCUGCUCUGCCCUGCAGCUGCACACAGGAGCAGCCCAGCCCGCGGGGCGAAGGAGCCGUCCUGAAGGGCCCUGGCUGCCAGCGCGCGGCCGCCCACCCACUGCACCCGCCUGCUCCCGUGGGGCUCGGUGCUGCAAGCAGCCAUGGUGCAGGUGCUGCCAUGCCCACAGGCUCCUGGUUAUUGCUGCGAGCAGUCCAGGGACGACUUCGCCCUGUGCAGGGGGAGGCUGCGCUUCCUGGGGACACCGAGGAGCUGAUGUCAGGGCACCGCAGGGAGGGUCAUUCCUGGCCCCGCGAGGCAGCACGUGGCAGCCGAGGGCUCCCCCAAGACUGGGGCACUGCUUGCUCUUGCAACACCUCUGGCUAAUCUGA